rnacentral:rRNA from 1 species
AACGCUAGCUACAGGCUUAACACAUGCAAGUCGAGGGGCAGCAUGAACUUAGCUUGCUAAGUUUGAUGGCGACCGGCGCACGGGUGAGUAACACGUAUCCAACCUGCCGAUGACUCGGGGAUAGCCUUUCGAAAGAAAGAUUAAUACCCGAUGGCAUAGUUCUUCCGCAUGGUGGAACUAUUAAAGAAUUUCGGUCAUCGAUGGGGAUGCGUUCCAUUAGGUUGUUGGCGGGGUAACGGCCCACCAAGCCUUCGAUGGAUAGGGGUUCUGAGAGGAAGGUCCCCCACAUUGGAACUGAGACACGGUCCAAACUCCUACGGGAGGCAGCAGUGAGGAAUAUUGGUCAAUGGACGAGAGUCUGAACCAGCCAAGUAGCGUGAAGGAUGACUGCCCUAUGGGUUGUAAACUUCUUUUAUAAGGGAAUAAAGUGAGGGACGUGUCCCUUUUUGUAUGUACCUUAUGAAUAAGGAUCGGCUAACUCCGUGCCAGCAGCCGCGGUAAUACGGAGGAUCCAAGCGUUAUCCGGAUUUAUUGGGUUUAAAGGGAGCGUAGGUUGACAUAUAAGUCAGCUGUGAAAGUUUACGGCUCAACCGUGAAAUUGCAGUCGAUACUGUAUGUCUUGAGUGUACAAGAGGUGGGCGGAAUUCGUGGUGUAGCGGUGAAAUGCUUAGAUAUCACGAAGAACUCCGAUUG